UACGUAGGGGGCUAGCGUUGUCCGGAAUCAUUGGGCGUAAAGAGCGUGUAGGCGGCCCGGUAAGUCCGCUGUGAAAGUCGGGGGCUCAACCCUCGAAUGCCGGUGGAUACUGUCGGGCUGGAGUGCGGAAGAGGCGAGUGGAAUUCCUGGUGUAGCGGUGAAAUGCGCAGAUAUCAGGAGGAACACCAAUUGCGAAGGCAGCUCGCUGGGACGUAACUGACGCUGAGACGCGAAAGCGUGGGGAGCAAACAGG
rnacentral:rRNA from 1 species